rnacentral:rRNA from 1 species
CCCUACGGGGGGCAGCAGUGGGGAAUAUUGCACAAUGGGGGAAACCCUGAUGCAGCGACGCCGCGUGAGUGAAGAAGUAUUUCGGUAUGUAAAGCUCUAUCAGCAGGGAAGAUAAUGACGGUACCUGACUAAGAAGCUCCGGCUAAAUACGUGCCAGCAGCCGCGGUAAUACGUAUGGAGCAAGCGUUAUCCGGAUUUACUGGGUGUAAAGGGAGCGCAGACGGCAAGGCAAGUCUGAUGUGAAAGUCCG